CCGAAGGAGAACCGAACGAAGACCAAAUGAGAGAUAAGAACUCGGAAAACGGUAGCAACAACCGGCGUCACCAAACGCUGCAGGCUUAGAUUUACGACGUGAUACAUUACAGUCUCAACGGGGAGCCAAUUCGUGGACGGAGCUAACGGCGUUUGCCUGAUUUCUCGUGAACUUAAUGUACGUGCCGACCGAAUUGACGUGACGCAACCCGUGCCCGAGUGAACCGGGACGGAACAGGGAAAAAUCGAGUAACAGGACCACCACGAGCAGGAUCCCGGGAAGGUUCAAGACCGACACGGGACACGAACUGGUUUCUGCCACGAUCCCGAUGCCCUCGCUACCACACCGGGAUCGAACAAACGAGAUCGGAGGUUCUCCUGUAACGUACACCCUGGGUCUCCUACCGGGUGGUCCAAGAUUCUAGCAGCGAGGCAGAACCUCGAUCCGACCUCUUGGAUGCGCGCCUCGCAUCAAAUGGGCACAUCAAUUAGCAAGGCCGAGUCUUUGAGAAGUUUGAUGGGCUCGCGUCUCGACGGCGCAAUUUGCGGGAGGAACUCGCAUCUCGCAGGCUAAUGCCGCUACAUUCAUCUGCCGCCGUGUUCCAGUAGCAGAUUCCCAUUUGUUAUGCAAUCACAGUGGUCGAACGAGAACGACAAACAACGGAGUAAUAACCUGUCGACGUACCCGGCCGCGAUUACCGUCACCGUCGAUUCCAUCUUGCGGUUGAAACGUCACGUCGCGUCGGAUCCAUGACCAGGAUACGAUCAGCCACUCCAUCGUGACAGUCCAAUUCGAUCGUUCUAACGAGUCCCUAAAUUCGAAGGAAAAACCGCCAUCGGAACAUGCCGGCUAGAGCACAGCUUUCACUGCGACUGCGAAGGGGCACCUUUUACGGCGUUCGCGACAAGAAAGUUCGCUUCUCGAAAAAGCAACGACAACCAGAGAAGUAAGAAAAAGCCGGUUGCAUUGGGAUGCAUCGUCUGUCGGGGCUGUUACGAGCGAUCAGAUAGCGCGGCGGUAGCGCAACUACGUUUGCACGGAUUUCGCAGAGGCUUACGCACCGCCGCCACUCGGAUGCUCGUACCCUGCCCGUACAGGGGAAAAUUUACUUCACGCGGAAACACCGCGCAUCGCACCGGCGAAGAGAUCCACGAGGCCGCCUCGCGGAGUAACGGGUCGGCGAUACAUACCGAGUGCAGCUCGAGCUCCGAAACCCUUUAUCGCGGGUCGGGAAUCUGACAAACUCGGCCGCGCGUUGAUGAACGUGCCGCGUUCACGAUAACACGGAGGAAGACGUAUUUAAUGCCCCAUGGCGAGGAGAUGCAACCCACCGUGUUUUCACUUCACGGAAUAUCGGAGAUGGUAGAGGAGGAGCUGAUGGAACUAAUUCUUAAGAAUUUCUUUCGUGCGAGAGCCGAGUAUUCAGAUGCACAUACAUAGACGCAUGUGCACACUGAUUUUAACUUUGAUAACCUUAACUUCCAUUGGAAUUAAGGAUGUAUUGGCUAUACAGUCAAUCCCAAAAGUACCAAACCGAAAACCGAAAACAUAACAUUGAGUGAACGACAUGCUGUUGAAACCAAUAUCUUCUGUUCCGAAACUAAUUUAUUGUAAAAAUAUCAAUAAUUUUGAUUAAUAAAUUAUUGGAAAUGAA